GCAAGUCGGGGGGCAGCAUAUCCAGCUUGCUGGAUGAUGGCGACCGGCGCACGGGUGCGCAACGCGUAUGGAACCUUCCCUUUACAGGGGAAUAGCCCAUGGGAACGUGGAUUAAUGCCCCAUGGUACCCGCUGUAGCAUUGCAGCGCGGUUAAAGGCUUCGGCCGGUAAAGGAUGGGCAUGCGUACCAUUAGUUAGUUGGUAGGGUAACGGCCUACCAAGACAGCGAUGGGUAGGGGCCCUGAGAGGGGGAUC
rnacentral:rRNA from 1 species